UACGAAGGGGGCUAGCGUUGCUCGGAAUCACUGGGCGUAAAGGGUGCGUAGGCGGGUCUUUAAGUCAGGGGUGAAAUCCUGGAGCUCAACUCCAGAACUGCCUUUGAUACUGAGGAUCUUGAGUUCGGGAGAGGUGAGUGGAACUGCGAGUGUAGAGGUGAAAUUCGUAGAUAUCGAGAGGAACACCGGUGGCGAAGGCGGCCAACUGGACGAAUACUGACGCUGAGACUCGAAAGCGUGGGGAGCAAACAGG
rnacentral:rRNA from 1 species